UACGUAGGGGGCAAGCGUUGUCCGGAAUCAUUGGGCGUAAAGAGCGUGUAGGCGGCCCGGUAAGUCCGCUGUGAAAGUCCAGGGCUCAACCCUGGGAUGCCGGUGGAUACUGUCGGGCUCGAGUCCGGAAGAGGAGUGUGGAAUUCCUGGUGUAGCGGUGAAAUGCGCAGAUAUCGCUUGGAACGCCGAAGGUGAAAACAGGCUGCUGGGGUUGCGCCGACGCUGAGACACGAAAGCCAGGGGAGCAAACGGG
rnacentral:rRNA from 1 species